AGUGAACGCUGGCGGUAGGCCUAACACAUGCAAGUCGAACGGCAGCACAGUAAGAGCUUGCUCUUACGGGUGGCGAGUGGCGGACGGGUGAGGAAUACAUCGGAAUCUACUUUUUCGUGGGGGAUAACGUAGGGAAACUUACGCUAAUACCGCAUACGACCUACGGGUGAAAGCAGGGGAUCUUCGGACCUUGCGCGAUUGAAUGAGCCGAUGUCGGAUGAGCUAGUUGGCGGGGUAAAGGCCCACCAAGGCGACGAUCCGUAGCUGGUCUGAGAGGAUGAUCAGCCACACGGGAACGGAGACACGGUCCAGACUCCUACGGGAGGCAGCAGUGGGGAAUAUUGGACAAUGGGCGCAAGCCUGAUCCAGCCAUACCGCGUGGGUGAAGAAGGCCUUCGGGUUGUAAAGCCCUUUUGUUGGGAAAGAAAAGCAGCAGGUUAAUACCCCGCUGUUCUGACGGUACCCAAAGAAUAAGCACCGGCUAACUUCGUG
rnacentral:rRNA from 1 species